AGUAAAUAGAUUGUGUUUGUUGUGAUUUUCAGCAAACGAGCUCUCAGCCCAGCAACUGUUCAAUGCUCGCUGGUUCGAGCUGGUUCGCUGGAACUCACAACAGACACGAGCUAUAUAUU